UACAGAGGGGGCAAGCGUUGUUCGGAAUUACUGGGCGUAAAGGGCGCGUAGGCGGCCUUCUAAGUCGAACGUGAAAUCCCCGGGCUCAACCCGGGAACUGCGUCCGAUACUGGAAGGCUUGAAUCCGGGAGAGGGGUGCGGAAUUCCAGGUGUAGCGGUGAAAUGCGUAGAUAUCUGGAGGAACACCGAUGGCGAAGGCAGCCUCCUGGGCCAAUACUGACGCUCAUGCACGAAAGCGUGGGGAGCAAACAGG
rnacentral:rRNA from 1 species